rnacentral:rRNA from 1 species
GACGAACGCUGGCGGCGUGCUUAACACAUGCAAGUCGAACGGAAAGGCCCUGCUUUUGUGGGGUGCUCGAGUGGCGCACGGGUGAGUAACACGCGAGUAACCUGCCCUUGACUUUGGGAUAACUUCAGGAAACUGGGGCUAAUACCGGAUAGGAGCUCCUGCUGCAUGGUGGGGGUUGGAAAGUUUCGGCGGUUGGGGAUGGACUCGCGGCUUAUCAGCUUGUUGGUGGGGUAGUGGCUUACCAAGGCUUUGACGGGUAGCCGGCCUGAGAGGGUGACCGGCGACAUUGGGACUGAGAUACGGCCCAGACUCCUACGGGAGGCAGCAGUGGGGAAUAUUGCACAAUGGGCGGAAGCCUGAUGCAGCAACGCCGCGUGCGGGAUGACGGCCUUCGGGUUGUAAACCGCUUUCGCCUGUGACGAAGCGUGAGUGACGGUAAUGGGUAAAGAAGCACCGGCUAACUACGUG